rnacentral:rRNA from 1 species
AUUGAACGCUGGCGGCAGGCCUAACACAUGCAAGUCGAGCGGAGCGGCGGACGGGCGAGUAAUGCCUAGGAAUCUGACUGGUAGAGGGGGAUAACGACCGGAAACGGGCGCUAACACCGCAUACUAUCAGAUGAGCCUAGGGCGGAUUAGCUAGUUGGUGGGGGAAGGGCCUACCAAGGCAACGAUCCGUAACUGGUCUGAGAGGAUGAUCAGUCACACGGGAACUGAGACACGGUCCAGACUCCUACGGGAGGCAGCAGGGGGAAAUUUUGGACAAGGGGCGAAAGCCUGAUCCAGCCAGGCCGCGUGUGUGAAGAAGGUCUUCGGUUUGUAAAGCACUUUAAGUGGGGAGGCUUUACCACCCGAAUAAGCACCGGCUAACUCCGUGCCAGCAGCCGCGUAAUAC